UUUAUUGGAGAGUUUGAUCCUGGCUCAGGAUGAACGCUGGCGGCGUGCCUAAUACAUGCAAGUCGAGCGAAUGGAUUAAGAGCUUGCUCUUAUGAAGUUAGCGGCGGACGGGUGAGUAACACGUGGGUAACCUGCCCAUAAGACUGGGAUAACUCCGGGAAACCGGGGCUAAUACCGGAUAACAUUUUGAACCGCAUGGUUCGAAAUUGAAAGGUGGCUUCGGCUGCCACUUAUGGAUGGACCCGCGUCGCAUUAGCUAGUUGGUGAGGUAACGGCUCACCAAGGCAAUGAUGCGUAGCCGACCUGAGAGGGUGAUCGGCCACACUGGGACUGAGACACGGCCCAGACUCCUACGGGAGGCAGCAGUAGGGAAUCUUCCGCAAUGGACGAAAGUCUGACGGAGCAACGCCGCGUGAGUGAUGAAGGCUUUCGGGUCGUAAAACUCUGUUGUUAGGGAAGAACAAGUGCUAGUUGAAUAAGCUGGCACCUUGACGGUACCUAACCAGAAAGCCACGGCUAACUACGUGCCAGCAGCCGCGGUAAUACGUAGGUGGCAAGCGUUAUCCGGAAUUAUUGGGCGUAAAGCGCGCGCAGGUGGUUUCUUAAGUCUGAUGUGAAAGCCCACGGCUCAACCGUGGAGG
rnacentral:rRNA from 1 species